GACGAACGCUGGCGGCGUGCCUAAUACAUGCAAGUCGAACGAACCGCGACUAAGUGCUUGCACUAAGUCAAGGUGAGUGGCGAACGGGUGAGUAACACGUGGGUAACCUACCUCAUAGUGGGGGAUAACAGUCGGAAACGACUGCUAAUACCGCAUAGGACAUAGGCUCACAUGAUCCAGUGAGGAAAGGUGGCGCAAGCUAUCGCUAAGAGAUGGACCCGCGGUGCAUUAGCUAGUUGGUAGGGUAAAGGCCUACCAAGGCGAUGAUGCAUAGCCGACCUGAGAGGGUGAUCGGCCACAUUGGGACUGAGACACGGCCCAAACUCCUACGGGAGGCAGCAGUAGGGAAUCUUCCGCAAUGGACGCAAGUCUGACGGAGCAACGCCGCGUGAGUGAAGAAGGUCUUCGGAUCGUAAAGCUCUGUUGUUAGAGAAGAACAGCGCAUAGAGUAACUGCUAUGCGUGUGACGGUAUCUAACCAGAAAGCCACGGCUAACUACGUG
rnacentral:rRNA from 1 species